CCACAGUAUCAAUUAAACUGUUUGACAAAACUGCACUGGUUGACUUUAAAACUAUUCAUGGUUUCUUUUGGGUAUGUUAUCAUCUCAAUUUUAAAUUCCCUUUUUUAAGUUUUUAAUCUGUCCAUAUGCUGCAUUAAAGUAUGUAUUAAAGGCCAUUUCCAAUCAUAGUCAAUGUUGUUUCAGAAAUCAAGUCACCUAUGAUCAGUUAAUCUCAUGCCAUGUAAACAUAUUUGCACUGGACUAAUAAUGGUUCAUAUUGGUUCAAAAUGUCUUAACAUUUAGCCUGUUCAAACUGUGUGUAUUAUAAUUUCUGUUAGGCUAUGAUGACAUUUUUAUUAUUUUACACUAAAUCCUUCUGUUGUCAGCUUGGUGUUGUAUUGAAUUUGUGUUCAUUCUCUGUACAUUUUUGUUUAUACACAUGUAAAAGAAUGGCUUCUCCCAGAUCUCUCACAACAGUACUCCUGGAUGGCAGAGAAAUUUUGAAGAAGACUUACACUCUUGGUAAUGUCAAGGACAUUACAGAGGCGUGUACAUCUGCACUGUCGUGCAAAGCAGAAAUAAUCAGAAUUCUGAAGUUCUGCUCAGAUUUUAAUGAAUACAUUGACACUGAUGUGAACUGCAAUGUUGAAAACAUGGAUACAUUCCAAAUUCUAUUCAAGUCCAUUCAAUCAGAUGUUUGUGAUGUCAGUGCCACUGCUGUCACCACACAGGAAAUGGAAGGACAGCGGGUAUGUUUGUUAAUUUGUUCAUGUCUGUUAAUUUAAGGAAGGUCACUAAACAUAAUAUUCUGUUUAGCGCGUUGGUGUGCCUUUAUGUGAAGUACUUUAUCCCAGUGCUUAGAUUAAGUGGUAAUAUCUCUACAGAAGUAUACUGGUUAAAAUAAAAUACUGUGUAUAUGGACUGUUCCUUCAGAUUUCAACAACAGCCAGUGAUCUUGAUCCUGAGAGUGUGAAGACUCACCUUCAACAAAAAGAUCCCAGGAUUUUUGCAUUCCUUGUUGGAAAAAAAGGGAUUGUGGAGUUUUCACUCAAGGGUUUAAGUGAGGGAUGAAGCAAAAAAACUAACCCGGACCAGCUGUGACCACGAGGAUCCGAGUCUGGUAGAAGGACGCACAGCUGCAUUUGACUGGCUCGUCUUCCAGCAGAUGAUGAUUCAUUCCACUCGUGGGUGGAUGGAGCUCAUUUCAAAAGGAACUUCCGCUGGUGUUUGCGGACUCUGGAGUGGUCGAUCUUCUUCAUCAGCUUAGUGUGCUUGUAGAUGAGCCAGGUCUCCCUCAGCACGUUGGCCGCCGCGUUCUUUAUCUGCGCACAGACGACACACACACAUAAUCAUUACGGGUCGCCCUUGGCAACAGGUUUGUCCGGCGUUUUCUUGAUGCAGAAGGAAAACAACACUUAAGAAUGUUUUUUUUUCUUAAAAGCCGACCUUAUUUUCUGUGUCUGACCACACACACACACACACGCACGCACACACACACGCACACAUGUUGCUUGCCAAAGCCUUUCAAGCGUACAUAAACAACUCUCUCCUUAGGGACUUUUGGCAAUGAGAACCAAACAGAGAAUCUCCCUCGCUGCUACAUACAGUAUACAACAAGAUAAAACAUGUAAAAUACGAGGGGUGUCAAAAAAAUUCUUAAUCGAUUAAAAAAAAUAUCAAAAAUCUAUUUACUUUAAACCAGUCCUGUGCAGCCACUCCGGCAAAUCAUAUUGUUGAUGUACAAAUCCCAAAACCAGUGAAGAUGGCACGUUGUGUAAAUGGUAAAUAAAAAC